CAUCAAGUUUGGCCACUUUGCUAUUCGGACUCCUUCCCAUUCAGUAAUAGUGUGAACCUCUGUGAAUUUAGGAAGAAAAUUCCUCUCCAGGUUUACCCUAUUUUAAGGAUAUGAAUUGUACUAAAGCAACCUGCAGAGGCACCACUCAUGACUGUCUUGGUACCACAGUCAGUGUUACAGAGGUUGACACUUUCCAAAGGAACAUAUUAAUAUAAAUU
rnacentral:lncRNA from 1 species